UGAGGUUUCUUUGGUCCUGACCUACAUGCACCUCUGUGUUGAGGACUGGAAGUGGUGGUGGAAAGCCUUCUUUGCCUCUGGCUCCGUUGCGUUCUUCGUCUUCCUAUACUCCAUCAACUACCUGGUGUUCGACCUCAGGAGCCUGAGCGGGCCAGUCUCCGCGACACUCUACCUGGGCUACUCCUUGAUCAUGGCAUUUGCCAUCAUGCUGUCAACUGGCGCCAUCGGCUUCUUGCUCUCGUUCUACUUCGUCCACUACCUCUUCUCGUCCGUCAAGAUUGACUAGAAGCCCCCUGCAGUAGUGUCACCUGAUUCUGGUGAUAGUUAUCCCUUAGAAACACAAACACAAAUAACUGUCAAACUGAAAAAUGGAAGCAUAUGUCGAUUUACAUGGCUUAGCACAGUUACUCCAGCUUAUGUUUACUUCUUAGACAUGUUUGUAAUGCUUCGGCUAUGUUCUCUUGCCUUUUUUUGUAAUAG
rnacentral:lncRNA from 1 species